UACGUAGGGUGCAGGCGUUAAUCGGAAUUACUGGGCGUAAAGCGUGCGCAGGCGGUCUGCGAAGAGAGAUGUGAAAUCCCCGGGCUUAACCUGGGAACUGCGUUUCUAACUGGCAGGCUUGAGUGUGGCAGAGGGGGGUGGAAUUCCACGUGUAGCAGUGAAAUGCGUAGAGAUGUGGAGGAACACCGAUGGCGAAGGCAGCCCCCUGGGCUAACACUGACGCUCAUGCACGAAAGCGUGGGGAGCAAACAGG
rnacentral:rRNA from 1 species